GAUGAACGCUGGCGGCGUGCCUAAUACAUGCAAGUCGAGCGAACAGACGAGGAGCUUGCUCCUCUGACGUUAGCGGCGGACGGGUGAGUAACACGUGGAUAACCUACCUAUAAGACUGGGAUAACUUCGGGAAACCGGAGCUAAUACCGGAUAAUAUAUUGAACCGCAUGGUUCAAUAGUGAAAGACGGUUUUGCUGUCACUUAUAGAUGGAUCCGCGCCGCAUUAGCUAGUUGGUAAGGUAACGGCUUACCAAGGCAACGAUGCGUAGCCGACCUGAGAGGGGGAACGGCGACACUGGAACUGAGACACGGUCCAGAGUCCUACGGGAGGCAGCAGUAGGGAAUCUUCCGCAAUGGGCGAAAGCUUGACGGAGCAACGCCGCGUGGGUGAUGAAGGUCUUCGGAUCGUAAGACUCUGUUAUUAGGGAAGAACAAUUGUGUAAGUGACUAUGCACGUCUUGACGGUACCUAAUCAGAAAGCCACGGCUAACUACGUG
rnacentral:rRNA from 1 species